UAGUGGGCUUGGCCCCCACAGCUAUAGCAUAGUGAACAGUUAUCAAAGGCCGCUCCGUUCUUCUGGAAGCUGCAGAGAAAGGGAACCUGGAAACCUGGUAUGCCGGCAAAAAGGGCCACAUUCUGCCCCUUGGGUGAACCUGACUGUUCCCUGAGUCGUCGCUGAAGUCAGCUUUCUGGCCAGUUCCUCAGAGGAAGAAGUGAAGCAUGGAGCCACCCAAGCUGCCCAACCCCAGCUGCUGAGGGCCUGCCUCAGGUCCCAUGGCCAAAGAACCUGCUUCUUCCAAGGCUGUCAGUUGUCCCAUUUUCGGCACCCUUGCUGAUCACACCCUCGCUGGUCACACCACCUACUUUCUGCUUCCCCAACCUUGGUUCUCAUCCCUGUAACAUAAGCAUCAUUUUUAUGCUGACCCUGAGAGAGCAAACCCCCCAUCACACUCUGGAGGGUGUGGGGGGUGAAAGUCAACACCUUCAGUCUCUGGUGGAGGCUUGUGACCUCUGACAUCCCUCAUUUGCCUCCGUUUUCCAGUGCACCCCACUGCUGCAUCCACCAAAGCAGUUUCGAGUGCCUGCUUGCGUGCCUGGUACCACAGCAGGUGCUGGGGAUAGAAUGCGGAACAAAAGAGGCCUCCACGGUCCUUUUCCUGCAAACUGUAGUUUACAAUAAAAGUAAACUAUAUUCACGUAUAACUAUAUGGUCUUGAAUUAUGAUGAGGGCAGUGAAGAAACUAAUUGAGUGCCGCGUGAGAAAUGAGGAAAGGGACCUUCUUUAGAUGGGUGGCCAAGAGGAGUCUUUCUGAUGAGUUGAUGUUUUGGCUGAGACCCCCACCCCAAAUGUCUUCCAAAUGAUAAUAAUCUCUUCCCUCACUGGGUCCCUAUGGGGUCCUGGAACACUACAGUGUCCUGAGAAGUGCACAGGGUUUUGGAUAAUUCAGGCCGGGGUUCACCUCCCAGCUCUGUCCUUUCACGCAGAGGAACUUCUCAACGUCCUCCCCUGUGAAAUGGAGACAGCCACCACCAGAGGGCAGUAGUGAGGACUACGUGAGAAGAGGUGUGUAAGGCCCCGUUGGCUCAGACCUGCCGAAACACUCAGGGAGGGGUCUCAUUCCUGAGCCCCUGCUCCCAUGCCUGUUUCCACCGCCCGCAACCUGCGGGGACCUUCCCACCCUCAGACCUCAUCUUGACAGUUUAUCCCUGUCACUGGCCUCAUCCCUAGUUUGGCUGGUCCUGCCCCUCCCCGUACCCAGUUAGGACAGUUGGUCUGACGUGUCUCCACCUUCUCAUCUCACCCUUAACUUCAAAGGGUCCCCAAAGCUUUCAC
rnacentral:lncRNA from 1 species